rnacentral:rRNA from 1 species
GAUGAACGCUGGCGGCGUGCCUAAUACAUGCAAGUCGAGCGAACGGACGAGAAGCUUGCUUCUCUGAUGUUAGCGGCGGACGGGUGAGUAACACGUGGAUAACCUACCUAUAAGACUGGGAUAACUUCGGGAAACCGGAGCUAAUACCGGAUGAUAUUUUGAACCGCAUGGUUCAAAAGUGAAAGACGGUCUUGCUGUCACUUAUAGAUGGAUCUGCGCUGCAUUAGCUAGUUGGUAAGGUAACGCCUUACCAAGGCAACGAUGCAUAGCCGACCUGAGAGGGUGAUCGGCCACACUGGAACUGAGACACGGUCCAGACUCCUACGGGAGGCAGCAGUAGGGAAUCUUCCGCAAUGGGCGAAAGCCUGACGGAGCAACGCCGCGUGAGUGAUGAAGGUCUUCGGAUCGUAAAACUCUGUUAUUAGGGAAGAACAUAUGUGUAAGUAACUGUGCACAUCUUGACGGUACCUAAUCAGAAAGCCACGGCUAACUACGUG